rnacentral:rRNA from 1 species
GUUGACCUCGAAUCAGGUAGGAAUACCCGCUGAACUUAAGCAUA